UACAGGGGGGGCAAGCGUUGUUCGGAAUUACUGGGCGUAAAGGGCUCGUAGGUGGCCAACUAAGUCAGACGUGAAAUCCCUCAGCUUAACUGGGGAACUGCGUCUGAUACUGGAUGGCUUGAGUUUGGGAGAGGGAUGCGGAAUUCCAGGUGUAGCGGUGAAAUGCGUAGAUAUCUGGAGGAACACCGGUGGCGAAGGCGGCAUCCUGGACCAACACUGACACUGAGGAGUGAAAGCCAGGGGAGCAAACGGG
rnacentral:rRNA from 1 species